AUGAACUUGAGAGUUUGAUCCUGGCUCAGAGCGAACGCUGGCGGCAUGCUUAACACAUGCAAGUCGCACGGUCAGCAAUGGCA
rnacentral:rRNA from 1 species